UUAGCGCGCGAUCGCCAUGUGCAGCGCGCGAUACGUGGAGCUAGCGAUAUUCGGAUACUGGCGAGAGGCUGAGGCGAGCUUUGUAAGUAAGAGGUGAAAGCCCAGAGCUCAACUCUGGAAUUGCCUUUUAGACUGCAUCUUUCUAAUCAUGGAGAGGUCAGUGGAAUUCCGAGUGUAGAGGUGAAAUUCGUAGAUAUUCGGAAGAACACCAGUGGCGAAGGCGGCUGACUGGACAUGUAUUGACGCUGAGGUGCGAAAGCGGGGGGAGCAAACAGGAUUAGAUACCCUGGUAGUCCACGCCGGAAACGAUGAUAACUAGCUGUCCGGACACUUGGUGUUUGGGUGGCGCAGCUAACGCAUUUAAGUUAUCCGGCUGGUUGUACGGCCGCAAGCUUUAAACUCGAAUGAAAUUACGGGGGCCUGCUCAGCGGUGGAGCAUGUGGCAAUUCGAAGCAACGCGCAGGACCUACCGGCGUUUGACUGGCAGGACGACUUUCAGAGAUGUAUUUCUUCCUUCGGGACUGCACACAGGUCUGAUGGCUUCGUCAGCUCGUGUCGUGAGAUGUGGGUUAAUCCGCAUCGAGCGCAUCUUCGCCUUAAGUUGCCUCAUUAUGUAGAGACUAUAAGGACUCUGGUAUAAUCGAGAAGGUGUGUGGUACGUCAGUCUUCUUGUCCAUACCUCUGGCUAAA
rnacentral:rRNA from 1 species